GCAGAGCAUCCUACGGGAGGCAGCAGUGGGGAAUAUUGCACAAUGGGCGCAAGCCUGAUGCAGCCAUGCCGCGUGUAUGAAGAAGGCCUUCGGGUUGUAAAGUACUUUCAGCAGUGAGGAAGGUGGAUAUGUUAAUAGCAUAUUCAUUUGACGUUAGCUGCAGAAGAAGCACCGGCUAACUCCGUGCCAGCAGCCGCGGUAAUACGGAGGGUGCGAGCGUUAAUCGGAAUUACUGGGCGUAAAGCGCAUGCAGGUGGUUUGUUAAGUCAGAUGUGAAAGCCCGGGGCUCAACCUCGGAAUUGCAUUUGAAACUGGCAAACUAGAGUACUGUAGAGGGGGUAGAAUUUCAGGUGUAGCGGUGAAAUGCGUAGAGAUCUGAAGGAAUACCGGUGGCGAAGGCGGCCCCCUGGACAGAUACUGACACUCAGAUGCGAAAGCGUGGGGAGCAAACAGGAUUAGAUACCCCGGUAG
rnacentral:rRNA from 1 species